UACAGAGGUCUCAAGCGUUGUUCGGAUUCAUUGGGCGUAAAGGGUGCGUAGGCGGCGCGGUAAGUCGGGUGUGAAAUCUUGGAGCUUAACUCCGAAACUGCAUUCGAUACUGCCGUGCUUGAGGACUGGAGAGGAGACUGGAAUUUACGGUGUAGCGGUGAAAUGCGUAGAUAUCGUAAGGAAGACCAGUGGCGAAGGCGGGUCUCUGGAUAGUUCCUGACGCUGAGGCACGAAGGCCAGGGGGAGCAAAACGGGG
rnacentral:rRNA from 1 species